ensembl:rRNA 5S_rRNA 5S ribosomal RNA
GUCUACGGCCAUACCACCCUGAACGCGCCCGAUCUCAUCUGAUCUCGGAAGCUAAGCAGGGUCGGGCCUGGUUAGUACUUGGAUGGGAGAGAAUUAGUAAGGAGGUAGUGAUGGCA